AUGAUGGCGUUCUGUUACCAAAUCCUCACAGACCCGAACUUUGACCCUAGGAAGAAAGAUGGGGCCUUGCAUGUGAUUGGUUCCUUGGCGGAGAUUUUAUUGAAGAAAAGUUUAUUCAAGGACCAAAUUGAGUUAUUUCUACAGAACCAUGUGUUUCCACUAUUACUGUCUAACCUGGGAUAUCUUCGAGCUAGAGUAAGUUUUCCACGCAUUUGUUAUAUGUCUUAAAGCCUUCAUCUGUAAGGUAAUUAUUGACAUAAAUAUGUUUCCUUAAGAAGUUCUCAUAUAUGUGACAUUAUUGCAGAAUGCCACAAUCCCAGUAGCUUCCUACUUUUCUUUUCAUAGUCCUGCUGGGUGCUUCAUGCAUUUAGUUCUUUGAAGUUUCAUAAUGAGCUCAACCUGAGAACUGCUGUGGAAUUGGCAAAGAAGAGCCUGAUUGAAGAUAAGGAGAUGCCUGUCAAAGUUGAGGCUGCCCUCGCCCUCCAGUCAUUAAUUUCUAACCAGAUACAAGGUAAACCAAAGCACUGCUUAGGGGGUUUAUUUUUUAUAUUUUGGAAUGAUCUUCUUAAUUCAUUUACUUCCUUCCCUGAGGAAGGUGGGCUUUUAUCUCCUUAGAACUUUUUAAGAGUUUAUUCUUGCUCUUUUUUAGGAAUUCCUAUUGAUUGUGGUUUCUAGAAAAAAUUGAGAAGGAAACAAGUUAGUGACUGGUGUGCAGUGGGGUUGGCUAGAAAUUAAAUGCCUUGGGUCCACUUUUGAUCCUGCUGAUUUGCCGUGUUAGGUCAGGUGAAGCAUAUGUCUGUAUUUACAUUGUGCGGGUUGACAAGAUGGCUUCAUGAUGCCUUUCAACUCCAGGAUGCUAUGCUUCUAUCAGUUCUGAAAGUAGCAAUCUUUCUAGAGAAUAAUAGCAUAGAUGAUUCAUUUAUUUGCUUAAAAGAAUGUUCUGUUCAAAGUUCAGAUAAACCUCUGCAGAUAAUUCCAGCUUUAUGAAGAAUACAAGCCUUGUUUACCUCUAUUCAGCAGUGUUUCAGUGGACGGACUGGAUGUUGUAAACAGAUGUGCUGGGAGGAGGGACAGUAGAGAUGGGUUAGGGCAGGCUAUAGGGCCCAUCAGUGUUGGAUGUGUUUCUCAUUGUUUAUGUUUGAUAUCAUAAUAUUCAUGUUCUCCAAGUCAGACUGAUGAAAGAGCACAUGUAUAAUUAGAAUUUCUCUGAGGGACCAUGGCAUUUGGAGCAGAACAGUCCUUUCAUGUGCAGAACUGCUUAUCUGGGUUAUGUGUGGGACACCCUUACAGGAGUGGGCAUUAUUUAGUGCUACCGUAUUAUUUAUUCCCUGCAGGGCAAGUUGGCAGCUAGAAUUCUCUGUGGGUAUUAACCUGUGUCCCUUGGCCUUGUGCCUGAGAUCGUUCCUUUCACCAUCUGUGCAUAGAUAUUUUUCACUAAUUUUGUUUUAUUGCAUUAGCUAAGGAAUAUAUGAAGCCACAUGUGAGGCCCAUUAUGCAGGAGCUGUUGCACAUUGUCAGAGAGACAGAAAAUGAUGAUGUUACUAAUGUCAUCCAAAAGAUGAUAUGCGAAUAUAGUCAGGAGGUAGCAUCAUUUGCUGUCGACAUGACCCAACACUUGGUAAGACUGACAUAAAUUAUUUUAUUAUGUUAAGUUCUAGGGAUUGAACCAAGGUUCUCCUAUAUGUUAGGCAAGCAUUCUGCCACUUUGCUAAUCCCCAGCCCUUUUAAAACUUUAGAGUCAAAGUCUUAAAAAGUUGAAGACUGGGCAGAAUUUUAUGUUAGUUUGGUAUAGAAGGUUUUAAUGAGCU
rnacentral:lncRNA from 1 species